CAGACUGACACUACAUCGUCUGGGCCAAGAUACCCCACCCCCUCGCGAUUAGUGCCUGCAGACAGCAGACACCACACCGGCCUCAUCACAUUGUUCGCACAGCAACGAAUAAGAUUGUAAGGUGGAUGACAUGAGUGGAGCAGCGUCUCUCUGACUAUCUGAUGAGAUCAAACCCAUCAUCUGAUCAACAGCUGCAUCGUCCCCCCGCUCCCAGACGGUGAGGCUGGAGAUCGAUACAGCCCAUCUUCAGAAUAACGUUAGGCACUUCCUAAUGGUGCUAAUGAAGA
rnacentral:lncRNA from 1 species